rnacentral:lncRNA from 1 species
ACACUAAUUUCUUUACUGUUCAUUAUAAUAAAACACUCAUGCAUAUGAAGAGUCAACAAAAAUUACAAAAAAAAUAGUCUUAAUUAGAAACAUAGAAUUUACUCCAAAUUUAAACAUAAAAGAGUUAACAAAAGUCAACGAAAUUACAAUAAAACAGUGUUAAUUAAAAACAGAGAACCGAAACAACUAAUUACCCGCAUCCCAAUCCUCAUCAUCUUCGACAUCUUCGAACUCCAUUGACGAUGUGUGCGAAGAACCAGAACAAGAAGCACUCUCCCUUUUCAUUUGCUCUAUCCAUUCUUCCAUUCUCGACAUUGUUUCUUCAAUCCUGCUAAUCUAUUCAGUUUGUUCCCGAGCUUUCUUAAGAGCCUUUUCAAUCUUUUCAUUCCUCUUCUUAAUCCUCUUAAGGCGUCUAUCGCGUCUCUUUUCAAAACAAUAUUCAUAAAUCCUGAAAGCAAGUAAAUGUAUUGUGGCACCACAACAAAGUCAACGAAUAUAGUGAUCAUAAAUACAGCAUCACUAUGGUCAUAUGAUGGCAGUAGUGGUGGUGAUUGUGUGAUUGGAGCGUACCUUCCGCCACAUUCCGCUGGCGAUAGUGGCGACGGUGGUUGGAUGAUUUGUGCACACCCUCCGCCACAUUCUACCACCACUGUGGUGAAUCCGUUUCGCCUUCGCACCCGAUUUGGAUUUGGUCGCACUAAAAAACAACAUAAGCCAGCAUCAACGCAACAAGAGCAAAAAAUAUCAACCUAUAAAAACAGAGAAAGGAAGAAAAAAAAACAAAGCAAAUGAAGUGUGUUAGUAUAUAACAACCAAAAUACACCAAAAUGAAAAACAUAGGAAUUGAAACAAUAAAGAUUCAUACUAUCUCUUGAACUCCAUACUUUUCAAAUCAAGAGUCAAGCACACCUUCAAAGUUCAACUUAAGAUUAUCC